UUCCCACCGCUGGGGCUGGCGGCGACCAACUCGCAGACCUGUCGCAGCCAGAGAGCUGUCAUUUCAGUACCGGGAUUCAGAAUUGAUCCAGUCCGCAGCGGAGGGGGCACAUCCCAGCUACCGAGCUGCUGAGUGUCUCUGGCUGGAACAAUAGUAUUUUUUUCUCUGCGAGGCUGCAAUUAACAUCUUAUUUUUUCUGGCUCCAUACAGGCUUUGUCAGGAUCGCGGUGCGGCGACCGACGUUGGGCUCUUGCAUUGCUUUCUGCUUGGCAAUGGAAUCAUGGUUUCGGGGUCUAAACUUUUGUUUCGUUUUGUAGUCUUAAUGUAUCUGAUUCUUUUUCAAGUUUCCCUAGUAACAGGUUUGGGGACGGGGUGGGAAGAAGCGAGAAAAGGGGUGAAGAGAAAAAAACAGAUUAUAUAGAAAGGGAAAAGGGAUGUUUCCCCACCUUUUAAUCUAACUAUCUAUCUGUCUGUCUAUCUAUCAUCAUAGAUAGUCAUUUUGCCUCCUGGACAGUUGGCUGACGAAGUGUCUGAUAAACCAGCUUCAGAUACAUGCUACAAAAGGUCAUUCGCCUCCUGAUUAUGUUUCUACUUGUAAACGCAGUUGGUGGUUUGCAAAACAAGUGCUAAAAUAGUGCAGUGAUGUGGUGGGAGGAAACCAUAAUGGGUAAUUCAUAUAAAGUGCUGGAAUCUUCGUAAGGGUGAGUUUCUCGAGCGGCAGGUGAAGUUGAAUAAAGCAAUUUUCCAUCAUUUGUUCCCCUCACUCUUGCAUUUUUUUCCUCCGCUUGUUUCUCUCCCCUGGGGCGAUUAUGGAUAGCCAAGAACACCAUUUUAAAAGAGAUUGAUAGUGAAAACAGGAAGUUUAUGGUCUGUUAUCCACUGGAGUUGUUUGAAAUAUUAAAAUUGGUCCUUUACUUCUUAAUGCAUAUUAAUAGAGUGACCCUCUUCAAGGCUUUCCCGUCUUAAACGAGUGCCU
rnacentral:lncRNA from 1 species